GGUUUCCCAGGUAUGGGUGCCGCAAGAACUGGUGGCUUCAUUAAGUAUGAUUUGAUACUCUCAAAGGCAUUACUACAAGCUUGGUCCCAUUCGAAGGGAGUGUCCUUCUUUAUGAGACGACUAAAUGGUUGACAUUUUUCGGCCAGGUUUGAUAUGAACCUCCUUAAAUAUGCUAGCCUUCCUUGAAGGAUUUUUAACUCAUGAAUAUCUCGAGGCUGGGCAUGUUCAAAAUUACAUCAACCUUAGCUUGAUCAAUUUCAAUCGGUGUCGCACAAUAAAGCCAAGAAAUUUCCCCGAAGUAACUCCAAAGACACACUUCAAAGGAUUCAUCCUAAGUUGAUAUCUUCGAAGUAACUCGAAUACCAUUCUUAGGUCUUUUAAGUGGUCGCAUCUCUUUCUUGACUUCACCACUUGAUCAUCUACAUAGCAUUCAAUAUUUUUAUGGAGCAGACCAUCAAAGAUGUUCUGCAUAGCCCUUUGAUAAGUGGCGCCAGCAUUUUUCAAACCAAAAGGCAUCACCUUAUAGCAAUAAAUACCUUUGGGGGUAAGAAAUGCAGUGAGUUCUUCAUCCUUUGGUGCCAUACGGAUUUGAUUAUAGCCGGAUGAACCAUCCAUAAAGGACAUUACUUCAUAACCAGUGGUGGCAUCAAUCAUCAACUCUGUUAUGGGAAUUGGAAAGUCAUCCUUAGGGUAGGAGUUGUUGAGGUCUCAAAAGUCGACACAAACUCGAAUUUGGCCAUUCUUCUUUCUUACUGGAACAAUACUUGAAAUCCAUGUGGGAUAUUUGACUUCACAAAUAAAGCCAAUUUCAAUGAGUCUGUUAACUUCAUUUUCAAUUAAUGGAACCAAAUCUGGCCUAAAGUGUCUUUGGGCUUACUUAACAGGACGAGCACCAUUCCUGACCGGCAACUGAUGGACAACUACUUUUGGAUAUAAGAAAGGCAUUUUCUUUUAGCUCCAGCGAAGACAUCCAUAUAUUCUUUGAGUAUGUCCAUAUAAGAGAUUUCCUCCUCUACUUCUUGAAACACACUCAAGUAAGUUGGUCUUGGUUGUCCAUCGGUUCCAAGAUUAACUUCCUUCAAGGGAUCUAUUGUGGCCUUUACUCCUUCUUCAAGUUGCAAUGGAGCAUCUCCAGCAUCUUCCUUCCCUUGAGGAUCAUCGUCAUUGGCGGAUAUAUGAUAACACCAGAAGGCAUCUUUUAUCUCUUCAUCAACCUUUAUUUGAGAUGAGACAUAUUUCUCGUUCUGGGUCGUAACAUUAUAUGAGGAGUCAAUACUCUUUUCAUCUUCUUCGCGUUGCUUAGUAUAAACCACAGUAUGCGUCUUUGCUUUUAACACCUCGUUGCAUGAAACUACCGGUUCCGUCUGUCGCUUCAUUCUAGAAGGAAUCAAACUUUGGAAAUCUUUAUGGAUUUUAAAUGAAGAGUGCAACAUCGUGCUUUGAUGACUUUUUUGACAUUUGUUGUUUUUUUUCUUAUUUAUAGGACCCAACCUUUCGAACUGUCACGCCCCAAAAUCCCAUCGGGCCGGACUGGCACCCGAAGCCGAGAAGGCCCGGGAGAACCCGUUCAAAUACCUGUACUUUCACUUACAUGUCACCAAAAAAAAAAUUGGACAGCACGUCGUUGCAUAUGGAAAGGUCUAAUUACCUACCUGUAUCAGCACAACACGCACAAAUAUAUAUAUAUAAUACUUGGCCGUCGGGGCCACCACAUAUACAGAUAUAACAUCACUAUAUAAACUUCCAUGCCUUUACCCUUCCUUAUGUCUACAAAGCCUCUAGGAUAUACAUGACAACUAGGGUCGGGACAAACCCCCCGCCCACACGUGACUCAUGUACAAUAACAAAACAUAAGGAACCGACUCGGAAAGCUCCGAAGCAAACUGGAGCUCACCAACAAUAGCUGUAUGACCUGGCUCCUACUUGUGCGGUGUAUGAGUUGAGGUACCUGUGCCUGCAGCAUGAAAUGCAGGUCCCCCGUGAGGGACGUCAGUACGAAAUAUGUACUGAGUAUGUAAAGCUGUAAAUAAUCACAUAUGAUAUAGGAGCUCAAUAGAAAUCAGAAACAAGUGAAUAAGUCGUAAUAGGAGUGGACCACACUUACUAGAACUUGUGACAACCUGUACAUUGUAUUUAUUCAAUCACUUUACCUUCGUUCUUAUCGUCUUUGUAAUCAUUACUGUACUGUACUGUGACCAUUAGGAUGCCUCCAGUACAUAUCAACUGGGAUCGACCCAUGCUAGGCUUAUGCCCCUGGGAUACCACCCAUAAACACAUGAAAUAGGGAUCGACCCAUGCUAGGCUUAUGCCCCUGGGAUACCACCCGAUAAGAGAGAACUUUCAUCACUUAGUUCAAUUAAUCUUUGAGAUUGUUAUUUCGGUCGUCACCACAUUUUUGAUACCUUGAAACAAUGAUACAUCAAUAGGAACCAAGUAAUAGACCUUCUAUACAAUAACGAUGUAAUAAGGACUCAUUGGUACAUCAACAAUAUGUUUCAGAAUCAUCAAUAUCACAACAAUGAAAUAAGAGCCUUUUGGUAUAUCAAUGAACAUUUUGACACUUUAUAGGAUGGAAACAACUUCGUUGGUAACGUAGAACAAUACAUGUUUUUGGACAACCUCGGAAUCUUACUUGAUGGAACAUUGGUGUUUUCAUGCCAAAGAACAUUGUUAGAGUAUGCUUUACAUACCUCGUUGUAGAUUCAGAUACCAAUUCAACACAACUUCCCGCCUUUACAAAUCACUUAUCUACAAUGAAAUGUUUGGCAUCUAGUAUUAGCAACCCAACACCACAAUUCUCUUCCAUAAUUCCAUACUACCAAUAUUUGCAAAACAUUCCAAAAACCAACUUGAACAAUAGGUUUAUGUGUGUAUAUGUAUAUAAUCAUCAUCUCAAUACCACAUCAUCAAUACCACAUCAUCACCCCAAAUUCCUUCACAAUUUAACAUAAUCCAACCAUGCACAAGAAUAAUCCAACAUCAUUUCCAAUCAUCUUUCAACAACAAUCAAAUAACAUACUUCUUAUGCUCACAUGCAUAUAUAUAUAUAUAUACAUAUCCAUAUAAAUAACACCAACAUAAUUUACAUCCUUACCAAAAAAAAUGGCCCUUUUGAUUUCGAAGUCCUGUUGGCACAAAUAAGGGGUGCUUCUCGAAGCCCUUGAGACGGUGAACACAACUACGGAAUCAAUUUGGAUUUUCUACGGUUGAAUCACAAGAUAAUUGGAGUUGAACUUAGGCUAGGGUUUCUUAUUCUUCAAUGAUUUGGAUGAUAAAUGGUGGAUAUAAGGCUAAGUAUAUGUAUAUAAUGACCAAUUUUCGUCCAUGAGGUGAUGGAAAAUGACCAUAUUGCCCUUAAAAAUUUAAGUAAAUCCGAAUCUGUCCAUGGUGGACUGUUUUGAUAGGCUAAAGUAAAUCGGCCAUAACUCUUUGCUCCGAUAUCGGAUUUGGGUGAAAUUGGUAUCGUUAGAAAGAUAAUUCAAAGGUCUUUCAUUUAAUAUAAAUUAAUCCACCCAGUUCGUCCUGUACAAGUAGUUAUGAUCGUUUGAAGUUGACCCUAAAAAUCUGUUUUGAGAGGCUGAAGUAAAACGAGUAUAACUCCUUACUCAGAUGUUGGAUUUGGAUGAAACCAAUUUCAUUGGAAAGAAGACUCAAAGAUCUUUCUUUUGAUAUAUGGUAGCUCAACCAGUUCAUUAUAUUGAGGGAGUUAUGAUCGUUCAAAGUUGACCCAAAAAACUGGCAGGCCUCAGUAGUUUCCUGCACAUUUUACUGUUCACAUCCCGGCCACCGUUUUAAAGUUUCGAACGAGCUCGCUUAUAUCCGAAACUUAUCCGUUUUUGGAAAUCUUUAUAUCGUUGGAAAGCUUAUUCAAUAACCUUCGUAUGGAACCAUCGACGGGAAAAUUCCGAUAUAAAUAAAGUCGAUUCCUAUACACCUAUAAUCAAACUAUACACUUGAAAUCAUCUCAAAAUAAUCAAUACUCAUACUUAAACUCAUAUAUACCUAACUUAGGAUCAAUACAUAUACCCCAACACAUAUAACAAUGACUAAUGCACGUAAUUAAGUACGGGGUGUUACACGAACACAGAAGUUCUUGCGGUUGAUUCUCCAAGUCAAUCAAAUACGGAGGGUCUUUUGUAAGCGGCAGUGGAUUUUUCUUCCACGGUGAUGUAAUUACUGACUGUCCUUCUUAUGGAGAUGCGAAUUGGAGGUGGCUGCGUGUAUCCUAGUCCUUCACGUGCUUUCCUGGUGUUACCCUCCGAUGGAAGUUUGUCCGUGCUUUCCUGGUGUUACCCUCCGAUGGAAGUUUGCCCAACCUUGAUGGCUCAUUAGAAUUAUAUCCAGCCUUUACAAAUAGCUUGUAUGCAUUUGGAUCAAAACCCUCUUUUGUACGCUUCGCAGGGAGUGCCAUAUCUGGUGGCAGAUUUUGAGCCACAGAUUCCCCAAGUGGCCUUGAGGAUAGAAUUAUUACGUCAAUCUUCCUGACAAGUAAAGUUAUCCCCUUUAGCACAUUAUCUUGGGCAUCAGGUGAGUGAUCUUCCUCUUUCUUUACCUUUGAAACGUAGCCAAGAACAGGAGCUGCCUUCUUCUUCGUAGGAGCGACGCUUUCUUUAUUUAAAGUGAAGAAAGACUUUCUGUUGAUGAAUAUUUUUAUAGUCACCGCGACUUUCUUAGAUGCAAGAUCAUCACACUUGGUCUUGGUGAUAUCUUCAAUACUUUUCUCAUCUACAAUAUGAUUCUUUAAGUAGAAUUUUGCAUCGGCAAAAUGUGACUCAGCUUCAGUGAAUGGCUUGUCAUCGGUGACUAUUAUUUUUUUCACUCCAUUUUUGAGAUACUUCAAGUAUUGAUAGUAAGAGGACGAGAUAAUUUUGUUCCCGUGCACCCAAGGCCUACCAAGCAAUACAUUGUAUGAAGUUUUGGCAUCGAUCACAUGUAUCAAUGGGUUUGAUUGAAAAUCAUCCAUACUAAUCCCCAAUUUGAUACAUCCCAUGGCCAUUUGGCCCCCUUGGUUGAAGCCUUGGAUCAUUAUACGACUUUCGUCCAGUUCGCUAAUAGCGAUGCAAAGCACUUUAUCAUAUGGAUAGACAGGAUAUUGACUCAAGAUUCUUUAUCUAUCAAGAUUCUAUUGAUCUUCUUUCCUAGAAUUUGACCCACCAUGUAUAAGGGACGGUUAUGUGGGGUUUCACCAAGCAGAAAAUUGUUAUUUGUGAAUGUGAUUUUUGUAUCACACACAUGUGCCUCUUCGCCAAGAGUUUCAGCCAAUUUUUCAAAAGAUGAAGGAACUUCCAUGGGUAGAUUCUCACCCUUUGCCCCCUCUUUGGCGGUAUUAAAACAAGAUGCUUUAAGGUUGACUUGGGCAGUCUUAUUGUGGAACCAACUCAGUAAGAAUUCCUCUAAAUUUACCGGACACCGAGGUUUCUGACGGUGAAGCUCCGUCACCCUUGUCCUUUUUGGAAGUACAACCAACUUCUAUUUCCUUAGUUUCUUCACCACUUUCCUUCCGGUUGGCUGUUCGUACAUCUCCUUUCGCAGACUCAUCUUCUUGCGUUUGCGUCUAGCCACUAGAGUCCAACCUUCACUAUCGUCUUCAUCAAUCGAAGACCUGUCAGGAUCUAAUAUCUCCUCAUUAUGCUCCUUGACACAAAUUUUAACCAGGUCGAGCGAGCCAAAAGUGAUAGAAAUUUGAUGAGAACAGGCUGUCAUUGUCGAAGAAGAUUUUCUUCUCUUUUGCUAGUUGUAUAACUUUAUAUUUAAAGAGAAAGCAUUUCUCCAGAGGGUGACUUAUGAGCCUAUAAUAUUUGUAAUAAUUAGGGUCAUUGGUCCUUCCGGCUUCAUUGGGACACUUCAUCUCUGGGAGCUCGAUGAGCUUAUGCUGAAGGAGUUCAUAAAAAAUCUCAGCAACAUCAGAAUCAAGGAAGGGAUAUUCCUUUUCUUGCAUCUCCUUUAACAUUUUCUGAUUUGGACGUGCUCCAGAAGUCAUCUUUACACUUUGCUUCUUGCUCACCUUUGUGGUGACUUUCACAGGAGACACAUCAAUAUUUAUGGAUUCUUUGUUAUCAUUUUUGGGGACAAACUUACCCCAUCUCUUGGGUUCUUGCUUAUCUUUUCCCCUUCGAAGGUCAUGGAUAGGCGCUCCUUCCUUUCCAACAGAAAACAUGCUCAACUCCAUGUCGUGAGCAUGAGUAGCUAACUCUUCAAAUGAUUUUGUCUUAAUGCCUUGCAAGAUGUAGAGAAGCCCCCAGUGCAUUCCUUGGAUGCACAUCUCUAUCACAGAAGCUUUGCUGAGCCUAUCUUUACAGUUUAGACUAGCAUGUCUCCAUCGAUUGAUGAAGUCAAUGACUGGUUCGUCCUUUCUUUGCCGAGUACUUGUGAGCUCUAUCAUGCUCAUUGUACGCCUUGUGCUAUCAAAGUGAUUCAAACUCAUGUUUCAAUUGCUCCAAACUAUCGAUUGAGUUAGGCUCGAGAUCCGUAUACCAAUCAAAGACGUUUCCCUUUAGGGAACGAACAAACUGUUUGACAAGAUAGUCACCAUAAUUUUCAGCAUUAUUACAUGUCUGGAAAAAGUGUGCGACAUGUUGUUUUGGGUUACCUUUUCCCUCAAAUUAUUGAAAUUUGGGGGGUUGAUAGCCAGCAGGCAUUUUGAGGCUAUCUAUUCUUGCAGUGUAAGGCUUGGCAUAUGCAAGGGAAGACUUGGUGACAACAUCAUACUUGUCUUUGAGGGUCCCUUCAAUAAAUUCUCUCAAUUGCCCAAUCGGGAUCAUUCCCUCAGCAGAAACUUGCACCUCUUUAGUCGAUGGUGUUUGUUUCAUAAGAUUUUCUAUCUCAUGAACCUCUGGAGCUUUUCCCGGUGUAUGGAUAAAUUCUCCGUCUAUCAAGCCUUCCACCCUAUCCGCUAUCUUAUCAAUCCUAGCCUCUUGAUUCUGAACAUAGUUGGUCAGGCCUUCAAUUGCCUUUGUCAGAUUCGCAAGCUGCUCCUCCACAGACGAGGCAUCAGUAAUCAUUGCUUGCAUGAUCACCGGAGAUGUUAGAGAGUAACACGGAUUAUCACAUAAGUUGAUCUUUGAAGUACUUAGCUUAUGUGGUGUAAGUGGAGAUGCCGCAUUUGUUGAACGACCAUCGCUCUUGGAUCCAGAGUAUUUGGAACCGAAAUGCUCAAGUAGAGCUAGAGUCUUUUUCAGUGAUUCGGCCACACUCCUUCCUUCUUCUAAAGCACUUGCAUUGGACUUCAUUCCUUUCGGGGUUGAUGAUCCAAAAAUUGGAGUUGGCGCGGACGACACUGGAUAUAUUUGUUGUCCUAGCAAGCCUGCCUUGCUCCUUGUGACAGCUCCUAAGGUUUCAAAAGUAACACCAAAGAUGCUUUCUACUUCAGCAGAGAACUUUGAAUCAGCAGCCUUGGAAGUAGUUGAUUGAGAAUUGACCUUCUUGGAAGUCAUUUCGCUGUUCUUAAACUUUGAAGUAUGAAAGUUGAGAUGAGAGGUAGAGAUUGUCCCACUGGGCGUGCCAGAAUUUAUUGGACAAUAAAAUUUCAAGACCGAAAAAUAAAUAAUUCGAGACAAGAAAAUAUUGCAACAAUCGAUUUUAUUGAUUUCAAUAAGUGAGUGUUUCAAUCUCUAUGAAUCCUCUGAAUCACCUUUUCGAAUAUAAAUUCAAGGGCUUAAAGUUUAGUCUUGAAUUUGAAUUUGAUUUGAUGGACUUGAGGGACUUGAUCGUGACUUGUGCUUCAAUUCAAGAGCUUUUGAGCUUGUUCUUGAAUAUUGCGAUCUUGAUCUUGAACUUUGAUGAACUUGAUUUGAAUGCUUGAGCUUUUUAGAGAAAUUGCGGCGUUUGAUCCACGAGCUUUCUCUUGCUACUUGUUAGAGUUCUGGGGUUUCUCUUUUGAAUUAUGAGACCCCUAUUUAUAGUUGUAGGAAAGAAAGAGUCGUGAUGAAUAUGGACUUCCUUUGACCAAUCAGAUUUAAGUAAUGUGACGCCUUUUAUGGGCUUUUAUUUCAUGGGUCUGCUGCAUCAGUUUGACACGUGGCACGGUCCUAUUGGCUGCUUCACUUGACUUGGCAUGCCGCGUUAUUUGACACGUGACGCUUAUUUGGGCCUCUAGAAUAUGACAAUAUUCUUGGGCUUAGCAAAGUGGGCUCAUUAUUUAGCCCAAUAAAAAUUGGACUUUAAUUAAACUCAUAUAUGUUUGGACUUAAAUAAUUAAUCUAAUUAUAUUAAUCCACAAUAUUUAUUUAGGACUAAUAUAUUUUGAAUUUAAUAUAAUCCGAAUUUUGUACGGACUUAAAUUUAAUAAAAUUGCAUCGCCCACAAUGGCGUUUAAGACAACAAAGAAGUAAAUCUUAUGGUUUAAAAUAAAAAUAUAUCAAUUGUCACCCUAAUAAUUUAUGAUAUUAGACAUUUCAUGUGGAAAGUUGAAAUUAAAAAGUUAUUGGAAAGGGGAAGGUUAUUUUCUUUUUUAGACGGAUUAAAAAAAAAGUUAAACAAAUCAAAACGAAAGAAAUAUAUAUUUAUAAAUAUUUAAUUAUUUUAUUAUGUAUUUAAAAGAAUAAAUUUAUAAUGUGCGUCUCCCAUCGGAUUGCGUAUUUCUGCCUUUGCGUGAGCUAAACGUGAUAUCCUAUUGGUUUCAUACAAAGUUAUUUAGAGGAAAUUUGACAUAAGUGUGUCUUUUAAUGUUAAAAGAGUAGGUUAGUUCUUUUAGUUGAAAUAUUAAUUAUGCGGCUUAGCAAAUAUAGAUCCACAGUUUCUUAUUUAAUUUAAGUUUUAAUUCUUACCAAAAAAAAUAAAAAUUAAUUAAUUAUAAUUCAUAAUUUUUUUUUUUAUAUAAUUAAAUACAAUUCAUAGCCUUGCUUCUAAUUUCCUCUCUUUCAAAUUCGCUCACCUCCCUUCUCCAUCUUCCUCAUUCAAUCUCUCUCUUUCGCUGACUCUGAGCUCUCUCAUUCUCUUUUUCUCUCUCUUUUUUUACUUAAAAAAAAAACUUUCAGUUUUUAAAAUUUUAUUAGCCGUUUUGAUUGUAUUUGGAUGAUCAUAAGGGUGUUUAGGAAAGCUUAUUUUUUGGUCAAAAUGGCUUUUAAGCCAUUUUUUACUUUUAGAAGUGUUUGAUAAUUUUUAAAAUCGCUUAAAAAAAGUUAAUUUUGACUUUUUAAAUGUCAAAAGUUAGAAGCAGCCAUUCCUUCCUGUUUUUUGGGGGGCUUAUAAGCUAUUAUUGUUGACCAAGCAAAUGACAUUUAUGUCCCUUGUAAUUGUCCCUUAUUCCGAAUAUACCCUUUUGUAGCCCUAAUUUUCUUUCACUACAUAGCAUAUUCAUUUUGCUCACAAAUUGCACCUUAAUGAUUCGAAAUCUUAACGUAACCAUGAAGAAAUAAAUAAUCUUUUAAUAUAUAACUAUCUUUUUCAAACACAUUAAAACGUUCAACACUUAAACUCUUACAAAAAAUAAUUUUUUAGCGCACAAAUUAAUAGUCAUUCAUGAAAAUAUUAUAUAUAUAUAUAUAUAUAUAUAUAUAUAUAUUAAUUUAAAUUAUUUUAGCAAUAAAAAUUAAUAAUAAUCAACUAUAUAUAUUAUUAACAGUUAUAAGGGUAUUUUAGAUAUUUUGACUAAAAAAACAGCUUAAAAGCACUUAUUUACCAAACACAUCAAUAACUUUUUUUAGUUUCAGCACUUUUACCCAAACACGUAACUGCUUAUUUUUAAAAUAAGUUCAGCACUUUCAAAAGCACUUUUAAAAAAUUUUAAAAGCAAUUUUUUUUCAACCUAUCCAAACGGGCUCCAUAUAAGAAACAAAAUUUAAAAGUGAUUUUAGUGAGAUCUUCUCGAUAUUUAAAUAAUUAUAUAAGGAAAAAAAAUUUCAAAAAUGACUAGUUAGUUAUUCUCAAUAUUUGGAUGAUCAUAUAAAGAAGAAAAAUUCAAAUGUAAUUCUAGUGGAGUCUUCUCAAUAAGUGAAUGAGCAAAUUCAAAAAAUAAUCUUAGUAAGAUGUUCUUAAUAAUAUUUGAAUGACCAUAGAAGGAAAAAUUGAAAGGUAACUUUAAUAGGAUUACUUUAAUGAUCCUAGAAGAAACAAAAAGUCAAAAAGACACUAACAAUAUUUCCUUAAUUAAUACUUGAAUGAAAAAGUACUGUCAAAUUUUUUGAACAUAGUUCUGAUCUUGCCAUGUUUUUCAUGUGAAUAGAGUUGAGAACAAAUACCAUGGGCCACUUCUACAUUUAUAUAUGUCGCUCUAUGUUCUCAUGCAAAAAUCAAACCCUAUCAAUAACCUGCAAUGAUAUACAUCACAAAUUUCCUCAAAAGCCAAUCCAGUCCUGGAAAACCAAAACAACAAAAAGAAACUCUACCUAAAGAAAGUGAUGAUGAGUUUCUUUCUUCUCUUCCCAAAGAAAAAGGAUGGAGAACACCUAGUCUGUUCCUCUUUCAGGGCUUUUGGUGUCAGCCCAAAGAAAUCCGAUCCAUAAUUUCGACACAGAAACACUUUAUAGCUCAAGAUAGUGACCUGAUCCUGGCUACGAUACCAAAAUCAGGCACCACUUGGCUAAAAGCACUCAUGUUCGCCAUUGUAAACCGGAACAAGUUCAGUGUUCAGCACAACAACAACCAUAUUCAGCAUCCUUUGCUCACUCACAAUCCUCAUGAGCUUGUACCCUUCCUGGAGUACAAGCUCUACGCGGACUCUAACAGCCUCCCUGAUCUCACCAUGCUCCCUUCUCCGAGGCUUGUCGCGACUCAUGUCCCUUUCGGGGCAUUACCUGAUUCAUCUAAGACAUCAAGAUGCAAAAUCGUGUACAUCUGCAGGAACCCUUUUGAUACUUUUGUAUCAAUUUGGCACUACCUUGGAAAAAUCAGGCCUGAAUCUUUAGGCCCUCUUCCUUUAGAGGAAGCGUUCGACUUGUACUGUAGGGGAAUUAUAGGUUUUGGUCCUUACUGGGACCAUAUGUUGGGGUACUGGAAAGAAAGCAUUGAAAAACCUAACAAGGUCUUGUUCUUGAAAUAUGAAGACAUGAAAGUAGAUGCAUGUAACCAGUUGAAGAAAUUAGGUGAGUUUUUGGGGUUUCCUUUUACUGAAGAGGAGGAAAAGGGAGGAAUAAUUGAAGAUAUCUCAAGUCUUUGCAGUUUCAAGAACAUGAAGGAGUUAGAGGUGAAUAAGAAGGGGAAAGGAGCAAUUUCAGAUUAUGAAAACAAAGAUUUGUUUAGGAAAGGUGAGACUGGAGAUUGGGUGAAUUAUCUUACACCUUCCAUGUUUGAGAGGCUUUCCAAUGUGAUGGAAGAGAAAUUAGGAGGCUCAGGGCUUACCUUCACACUGUGUUGAGUACUCUAGAAAGCAAGGGUUCGGUGUGUGUGUGAGAUAAUAAUGAUUUCAGAAUAAAAUUUGAGAUAACGUUAUCUCAUGUUUUAGUUUCAGGCAUUAGUUUAUUUUAAAAUUAUUUUAUUUCAUCAUUUGCACUAUUCUCAUAUUGAAGGUGAGAUAAAUUAAUCUCAAGGAAUACCUUUGUUUAUUCAUUUCUGCCUACCAAGGAGUGGACCUAUGACCAUUGUUUUGGAGCUUCGACAUUCGUUAAAUUCGAGAAGAACCUGAAAACUUUGGGCAUCAAUAUAUGUGUUCAAACCACCCGAACACCUAUGACCCCUAAAUUCUGGGUCUGGCACUGUGUACCAAACAACCCUAACAACUUGUUUGGAUGGUUCCUACUUAUUGUGCAUUAUUUUAAAUGAAUAUUUAUGUAAAUGGUUACAUAAAUUUUAUUGCAUUAUCUUAAAUGAAUAUUUGUGUAAAUUGUUACUUAAAUCAGUGUUAUGUACGGGGCGUUUGAUAGAUGGUUUCCAUCGUAUUUACACAUUAAGGUGUCAUUAAUUUGAUAGUUGAUUUGAAGAUAUGUUGUGCAUAUAUUAAAUUCUACGUAAACAAUACCACAUUAGGUAGCCGAUUGACUUAAGAGUUCAGUUAUUACCCACAUAUUUAGAGAGCAGAACAAAGUUUGCGGACUUCCUAGUUAAGGACCGAGCAAGGACCAAACAUUUUGCUAGUUCCCCAGUGUUUGUAACAAGCACACGCUUUGGGAACUUUGUAUGUUAAGACAAGCAACAAACAAUUAUGUUAGCCCACCUAACCAGGGUGAGGCCCAGAAAGUUGACUACUUAGCCUCCACAUCUGAUUGAGGCCUUGACUCAACAAACAUUUAGCUAAAAAUUACAUAAAUACAUAAUUUAUAUUUUUAAUAUUAUAAAAAUUUCAACGUAUACACAAAAUGCUAUAUAUAUGUCAGUUAUGUUAUGUAUAUUAAUAGGGAAAGAAAGUAAAGUAAUUAAAAAAGUAAAAGGAAGUAUAAUUACUUUCAAAAGGGUUGAUACUUAUGUUAUUUAUACAACAUUUAAACUAUCCAAAGUUAUUUAGGUAUAAAACUAAUAAGGUGUUUGAUCGAAUAGUAUUUUAGAAAUUCGCAUAAAUAAUACAUAUGUUUAAGUUAUAAAUGAAUCUAUAUAUUAUUUCGUGUUGAAAGAAAAUAAAAUAACUAAAUCUUACCUAACUAAAUUCACACAUAAAACUAUAGUAUUUGGGUCAGCUUGCACACACCUCGAUUAAAUCCACAAGAUAUCUGUCUCCUCCCACUCGUAACAGAUACCAGAUAAUUCUGUCCACAAGGCUAGAACAGAUGGAAAGAAAACACCUAGUGUUUGUCUCUGCUGAAAAUUGAAUCUCAAACCUCAUGGCGCUCAUCCUAACUUCAUUGAACCACCGGCUAAAACUCUUGUUGCCACCGAAACCCAUAAAUUAAGAAACAUUUUGGUCAUUAUCUCCAACUGUUGACAUAUAUUCUUGAAACAAGAAAUGUGCUAAUAUAAACACCACUCAAAAGUGACAAAAGUUGACAUACUAACUAGAAUGACAAAAAAUAAAUCAAAACAAAAGCUCAAGGAACAAGAUUAUUCCCUACAUAAAUAGCACUAAUAAGAACACUAAAAAGAGAUAUAUUUCAAACCAAUUACUAAUUCUAUACAGAACUUUAACAUAUUAGUAAUACUAAUUAAUCAAAAGUCCAGGCGUUGGCAUUGAACCUGCAGAUGGAGAAGCCGGAGAGCUCCUACAAAUCGGACAAGUUCCACUCUUCCGCAGCCAUUCAUCAACACAAUCUGCGUGAAAGCAGUGAUGACAUUCCGGCAUACAACGAACAGAAUCCUUAGCACAAUAUUCACACAAGCAUAUUGCACAUGUAUUCGUAUCACUAAUAAGACUGGGCAAUCUCUUGCUUUCACCCAACACUACUUUGGGGAAUGACUCUAUCACAGGUCGAUCCAACCCGAGGAAGUAGCUAUAGAUGUUGUAAGUAUUAUUAUUUGUCCCAAUGGAUGACGAUGAUGGCGUAGAAUCUUGAGUUAAUUUGACGCGAAGACAAGCGUAGGAGGCGAACAUGACGAGGGAGAUGAGAAUUAAAAUGCCGAUGACUAUGACGAUACCGUAUCUCAGGCUGAUCGAAGAAUCUGCAGGUGAGUUAGAUAUGGACAUUUUUUUUUUUUUGUGUGUGUGUGAAUAUUGUUAAUGUGUGUAGCUGCAAAUAAAUGGAAGAUAAAUUAGCUUUGUAAUAUGGUCCCCAUAAUAUGAUUAAUCGGGGAAGAAAUAAAUGAGGUUGGACCAGUGAGUAGAUGUUGUCAGAAAUAAAUAAAUGAGUAAAUACUAAGAUAAAUAUUACAAUGUUCAUCAUGUGGUGGAGCUACGUAAUCGAUAUAUACACUAGAUGUUACGUGUGUUAACAUUUCAUAUUUUGAACCUUGAAUAUCAUGGCUUUGCCAUUAUAAAAAAGAGAUCACGACAUCACGUGCAUGAGUAAUUGAAAGUAUACAGAGUGUUUGAAAAUCAGAUCCAGGCCUUAUUGGGAACUGGGCUUAGAGCUACAGAAGGGGAGCAAAAUCUGGGCAUUCAAAGUGUUUAGUUUGUUAUGGAACAAAUGUGUGACGUUGAUUUCAUCUUGAACUUCCCAAUUUUUAUCCAUUAUCUUUCUCUGUGUGUAUAUUAUAUAUACACACUAAAGAAUGAAAACAAAGUUAAACAACACUAUUUUCAUAUCAUUUGACGAAGCCGAUCAGCGGCGACGGUGGAGGCGCGACGACGUGCCUAUCUUUUCAAUUCUUUUAAAUUAAUGGAAGUGCUUUUUGUACUUGGAUGGAUUUGUUUGGCAUAUAAUUAGUCUAUCCAGAUCUAUAAAUAUUGUUAAAAAUAAAUAUCUAAAGCUUACCCUACUUCAUUGGCUCAUUAUGUGAUACUUAUAAUUUGUCAUGUGCUCACUUUGGUUCAAAUGAAGACAUUUUACUUGUUGGGUCGAACUAGUUUAACCUCAGAAGGCAAAUCGAUAAGUUAUGAGUUCGAUAAAAUUCAAUAAGUUUAAUUCAAAUUUUGUGUUUGUUAAGAUAUUUCAUCAAUAUAUAUAAGUAAUCUAUCUUGAAUUCCAUAAGCAAUUAAAAGAAAUUAUAAGUUGAGAAUUUAUAAAUUUAAAAUUAUAAAAUCCGCCAUCGACUCAACCCUUAAGCAAUGGAAGUAAUAGAUAAUCACUUGUACAUGCAAGUAAUCAUCUAAUUAGCAACAUAUCAUUAUCUCUCGUUAAUUCUUUCGAUUAUCAAUCAUAUGAUUUUGUUCAUUUUACUAAUACUACCUUCUAUCUAUCUUCACGCCUUAUUUCAUUUAUCUCCUUCUUUACAUUUAGGAAUUUCUUAGCCUUAACAAUUAUUAAAUUAAUCUACGUAUUAAAUUCCAUUCCAAUAUCGUGACCCUUUCACAAACUUAAUUAAUAAACCUUCUGUGUAAGUGCCAAAUAUAGAUAUGCAAUCAAGGACAACUUCUAUUAACCAAAAAAUAAAUAAAAAAAUCAAAGGACAACUUCCUUCUCCAACAUAAUUAUGGUCACGAUCAUGAUCAGAGGUAUUAUGAAAAUUUGGCUUUUCAUAAUGGAUCAACUCUUGUAGCCUAGGUGGAUAGUUGGAGUUACCGGAUACCUAUUGCCGGUGAUAUAUGAAAGGUGUCUCAUGGAAUUAGUUAAAGCCCGCAUAGGCUGGCUAAAACAACACAAUUAUAAACAAAAGAAAAUAAUGAAUAAGCUCGAAGAAAAAGCCAUGCUAAUUAAAUUUUUUUUUUUUUUUUUGGAAACUUUUCAGGAAAACCCGCAGCCGUUACAUCCUCUGCCACAGCCUCUACCCUUCGGGUGAGCACUCUGUGGUGAUUACAGUGCGCACACUGGGUAAAACCCCCGAUGCAAUCGCCUGCAAACCACACGGGGAUGUUCAUAAGCCGUGUUAUGCUCAUAAUUUAUACGUGAAAAAUAAAGGUGCCAAGUAUAAACAAUAUUAUCUUGAAGAUUUCUAUGAAUAGUUUUGACAUUUUUCUUAAGCAGAAUCUCAUAAACAAAUUUUUAGUUAUCUCUCAAAUUAUACAAUUUUUUCGGCUAAAAGUAAAUCUCAAGGCAAUUUUAUUCAGUCAUUAUUUAACUAAUCUUACUAAUAUCCUCAAGAGAUGGCAUGAUAUUUUACCGUUAAUCAAACAUUUCGCAUUCGAAUCUGUAAUAAUAAAAAAAUAUUCCUAGCUUGGAAAUUUGAGGAUAUCAUAUGGUUAUAACAAAUUUAAUUAUUAUUAUUAUUUUUUUUUUAAAGUUAAAUGGGAUGUCACAAAUGACAAAAAGGGGGAUAUAAUUGUCAUUUGGCAAUAAAAUAUUCUUAGAAAGAGAUUGAAAUGUGAGACACAUAACCCACUCAACGUGCAUUCAAAUCAAACCACAAAAAUCAAAGCGGCCAAACUAAAAAGGAUUUUCAAGGCUCAAACAGAGCCAGUCGAAGAAGCAGCAAAGAAAUUCCUACAAGUGGUUCUGCUUGCUUCUUCAUUACCUCAAUAAACAGAACUUUGCAGUGGAACUUAGAGAACCCAAAAAGCAGUAGCAAAAGAAGUAGGAAUGGCUUGUGCUGCUUUAUCAGCAAACACUUGUACUAUAGCUAAUUCAUCUUCAAGUGGAAGAUUGAGUUUUUACACAUACAAAAAAGACUCAAUACUGAGGCAAAGGCAGAGUCUUGUUCGAUUCAGAAUUCGGGCUUCAACUGAUGAUUCUGAUUGCAAUGCUGAAGAAUGUGCCCCUGAGAAAGAGGUCUUUUUUCCUCUUUGCUUUUCUUGAAUUUGUGUAGUUCAAUUUUCUUGUUGGAUUUGUGUUUUGGGUUUAUAUUUAUGUUGAAAAAAAGGAAGUGGGUAUGUACAAUCUUGAUUAAAGGAACUGUCUUGGAUAAUAAUUAUGGCUACUUCUGAGUAGUAUUUCGGGAAAGAAACAAUUUUUUUCCUGCUGCAAUUAUAGACUACUUUAAUUAAAAAUGGAGUCAAAGAUUUUGAGCUGCACAAACAGCCUCUUGCAGAAAUAGAGGGUGUAUAGACCCUUAUGGUCCGACCCUUCCCGGACCAGUGCAUAGCGGGAACUUAGCGCACUGGGCUGCUCCUAGUCUUUGAGUUAAAAGCAUGUUAACUCAUGUUUCCGGAGUGAGUAAAGUUACCGCCUGUAGAGUGCAAAUACUAUGGUCUUUAGAGUGAGUUUGUGAAAGGAGCAAACUUGGGAGUGUGUGAUGCGAAAGCAUGUUCAAAAAUAUCGCAGAAUCACAAAUGACUUUAAGUUAACCUCUGAUUUUUCAUCGUCUUUAGUUUCAUAUGCACUUCUAUUCAGCCUCAUAUUUUCUCUAUGAUGGCAGCAUUGAAUACAAUUUUAGGCGUUUUUCAUAUUGACUGUGUGUCAUUGCUAAAAGUUUCAGAUUUCGCAAUGGACUUACUUAUCAUAUGUACCUAGACAUGGCUUAAAACUUGUCACAAGUUCUUAACUUCUGUUGCAAUUGGUAGUUGGUUCCAACAUUGCGACAAGGUUUUGUUGUAUUGGUCUGUUUGGGGUGUAUUCUAUCGUUGCAGAGCGCUUGACUUUCAGAUACUGCUCACUAUGAGAUAUCACCUUAUUUUGCCAGCAAUUUAUGUUUUCUCAACGCAUCAAAUGUAUAUUUCCUGAUUCGCAAACGAGCUUAAGCCCUUAGCUCAGGCACAAAUUGUCGCUAUGCGGUCAAAUUGUUAUUUCAGACAUUAAUAUCUAAAAGAAUUAGUAUCCAGCUUAGCUACUUCAAGGACACGUUAUAGCGCAGCUAUGAGGCUCAGGAAAAAAAUACUAAUAGAUUUGCUCAACAGGCUUCUCAUGACCUCACUGUCAAGCCAUUUUUUACUAGUGUAACUAUGCCUAUACACUUUAUGUGGUAAUUUUGAGUGAGUUUGUUCCUCAGCCCUUACUUCUUAGCUUUUUAAAACUCUAGUAGAUCAGUAUUGCACGUUAUACUGUUCAGUAAGAUAGUAGUUCACACUGGAAAAUAUUGUGAUACACUUUGUGUAUUGGAUAUAUACAGGUGGGGAAGGUGAGCAUGGAAUGGGUAGCUGGGGACAACACCAGAGUGGUUGGGACAUUUCCACCUCGUAAGCCGCGUGGCUGGACAGGGUAUGUUGAGAAGGAUACUGCUGGGCAAACAAAUAUAUACUCUGUUGAGGUUAGUACUUCUAUGUUCUGCAAUGACAUAAGUUCUCUUGAAACUACACUAUUCAGGUGGUGUGGAAAAAAGGAAGUUUCAGAUUAUGACAUACCUUAGCUCCUCACACGAGAAACUAUCUCACAGUGAAAUAACUGUUGAGUUACAAAAACAAAUAACUCUUUUCAUUUUGUUGAAGUUCUACUUCAAGUGUCAAUCUAGUAUUACCUCUCCAGCUACUAUACUGAUGCUUGGGCAGUGUAAACGGUUGUAGGCUGUUUCACUUCUUACUGUGUGGUAUUGGACUGGAAGACUCGCUCAUAUCAUCGAAGUACUAGCUUGUUGAGCUUCCCACAUAUAUUCUAACUCUUUCUUUUUUCUUCAAUCUGCACCUUUUUUCUUUCAAGCCUGAUGCUUUUACACAAGAUAAGCUAUGUUGCAGCUCCUGAUCGACUCGGUUGUUUUCCCUGCCCCACGGCCUUUCACUUAGCUUAAGAUCAAUUUGGCUAGGAUUCUGUCUAAAAUUCUUCAGAACUACUUACAAGUUCGGUUCAAUAUAUGAGGGUGAAAGUAUAUAUCUAUUGGCAAUGUCACACUGAAUCAUCAUUCUCUUCUGGUAGUUUUAAGCGGCAAAUGAUACUGUUUGAGUUUGACGAUCUGUAUGGAUGCUGUUGUUUUUAUCAGUGUUACUGACGUUGCUUAAUUUCGCAACAGCCUGCAGUUUAUGUAGCAGAAAGUGCCAUCAGCUCCGGGGCAGCAGGCACCUCAUCUGAUGGAGCAGAGAACACCGUAGCUGUUGUAGCUGGGAUAGGCUUAAUCGCUGUUGCAGCUGCUUCAUCGAUUCUCCUUCAAGUUGGGAAGAACUCACCUCCUCCGAUACAAACAGUGGAGUACUCGGGACCAUCCCUUAGCUACUAUAUCAACAAGCUUAAGCCCGCGGAAAUAGUCCAAGCUUCAGUAACCGAGGCACCAACUGCACCUGAAGUUGAAGAUGUUCAAGCUUCAGUAGCACCAGGAACCGAAGCACCAAAUGCACCAGAAGUUGAAAGCUCUGCUCCCCAAGUUGAGGUCCAAUCCGAAGCCCCUCAGGACACUUCAAGUCCUAACAUCUCUUAGGACAAAUCGUUUUGUUUACUUGUAUAUUUUAUUUGUAGAUGACCUAGUACACAUAUUUCAGUAAGUUUUUGUAAUCCUAUUAUUAAAAGAGAACUAUUCUGCGUAAUUGAGUUAGUUCAAUGGCCAUAUCUCCGAAUAAAUCAUCUAUAUAUGCUAUUUAGUAAAUGAGAUCUAUCCCAUAGGAACUGUUUCACAUAUACAUCGAUCUAUCCAAAAUCUAAGUUACUACUGUACUAAGCAAAUUUGGUCAUCAGAUCAAUAACCAAGACUUGACUCUUAAAACAUAUAAUUGUAACCUUUCAUUGUUCAUACUUUUUUUUUAUCACCAAACAUCAUAACCUACUUCAAGUGGGUCCAUUUUACCAACCACAUUCCAUUCCAUGAGCUGUUGUAUUUUCCAUCUUCAUUCUUCAGCAACUGUUCUGUGGGCGCCGGUGUGUACUGCCAUCGCCAUCGAUCUAUCUGAAACAACAUGUAUCAUCAAAGCGCUAACAAUAAGAAACUGCAAGUAUGACACUACGACUUCUAGUUCGUAUAAUAAGACAAAAUACUCCUACCUACUUACAUGGACGCACAUCUUCCUACUAACUUUCUAUCUUAAUCUGCAUCUUUCAUACCUUAUUAUUUAAGAUCAUGUCUUCGAUAAACUUUUCGGAGCGCGAUAGCCAGGACCCAGAUUGACUUUUUGUUGCUUAGGAAAGGGGAUAGGGCGUUGUGUAAAGACUGUAAAGUCAUCCCGAGUGAGAAUCUUUCGACCCAACAUAGGCUCUUGGUUAUGGAUUUGGGUAUAAAGAAGAAUAGAAAGAGGAGGAGUGAGGAGUGUAGACCGAGAAUUAAGUGGGGCGGUUUGACGCCAGUGAAUGCGUGGGAGAUAGGGGAGAGGUUGGCGGGAAUGGGGGUGUGGGAGUGUAGGGGGGAUGUGGAUAAUAUGUGGGACAGGGCGGCAACGUGCAUCAGGGAGAAUGCCAACAUAGGCUCUUGGUUAUGGAUUUGGGUAUGAAGAAGAAUAAAAAGAGGAGGAGUAAGGAGUGUAGACCGAGAAUUAAGUGGGGCGGUUUGACGCCAGUGAAUGCGUGGGAGAUAGGGGAGAGGUUGGCGGGAAUGGGGGUGUGGGAGUGUAGGGGGGACGUGGAUAAUAUGUGGGACAGGGCGGCAGCGUGCAUCAGGGAAAAUGCAAGGGAGGUGUUGGGUGUUUCUAGGGGCCGGGCCGGACAUCAUCGGGGGGAUUGGUGGUGGAAUGAAGAGGUGGGGAAGAAAGUGGAGACCAAGAAAGAGUCGUAUGCUAAGUUGGUGGAAAGUAAGGACGAAGAGGAGAAGCGGGUAAACAGGAAAGAGUACAAGCUAGCGAGGAAGGAGGCGAAGUCAGCGGUCACGGCAGCUAAGACGGCUGCUUUUGAGAGCUUGUAUGCAGGGUUACAGGGGAAAGGAGGGGAGAAAAAGUUGUUCCGACUCGCUAAGGCUAGGGAGAGGAAGGGUCGUGACCUCGAUCAGGUGCGGUGCAUUAAGGGGGAGGACGGUAGAGUGUUGGUGGAGGACGGCCACAUAAAGAAGAGAUGGCAGUCGUACUUUCAUAGGCUCUUGAAUGACGAGGGGGACAGAGCUAUUGUGUUAGGGGAACUGGAGCACUCAGGGGAGUGUCGGGAUUUUAGCUAUUGUAGACGUUUUAAGGUAGACGAGGUUAGACAGGCAGUCCGCAGGAUGCGAAGGGGUAGGGCGACGGGGCCGGAUGAGAUACCGGUGGAGUUUUGGAAGUUCGUUGGAGAGGCUGGUGUAAGGUGGUUGACUGCAUUGUUCAAUGAAAUUUUCAGGACGGCAAAGAUGCCCGAGGCGUGGAGGUGGAGUACCAUGAUCCCCCUCUAUAAGAAUAAGGGGGACAUUCAGUGUUGCAAUAACUAUAGGGGGAUUAAGUUACUGAGUCACUCUAUGAAGAUAUGGGAGAGAGUGGUCGAGGUGAGGCUGAGACGGAUAGUGUCUAUUUCGGAAAACCAGUUCGGAUUUAUGCCCGGCCGCUCGACGACGGAGGCAAUCCACCUGGUACGGAGGUUGGUGGAGCAGUAUAGGGAGAGGAAGAAGGAUCUGCACAUGGUGUUCAUCGACCUGGAAAAGGCGUACGACAAAGUCCCCAGGGAAGUGCUUUGGAGAUGCUUGGAGGUGAGUGGAGUACCGCAGGCAUAUAUCAGAGUAAUUAAGGAUAUGUAUGAGGGAGCGAAAACCCAGGUGAGGACGGCGGGAGGAGACUCAGAGCAUUUCACUGUCCUGACAGGAUUGCAUCAGGGAUCUACUCUUAGUCCCUUUUUGUUUGCGUUAGUAAUGGAUGUGUUGACGCGGCGUAUCCAAGGGGAGGUGCCGUGGUGUAUGCUUUUUGCAGACGAUGUAGUCCUGAUAGAUGAGACUCGAGGGGGUGUGAAUGACAAAUUAGAGUUGUGGAGGCAAACUCUGGAGUCUAAAGGGUUCAGGGUGAGCAGAACCAAGACAGAGUAUGUGGAAUGUAAGUUUAAUGACGUGAGGCGGGAGAAUGAGGUAGUAGUGAGGCUAGAAGCACAGGAGGUAGGGAAGAGGGAUAAGUUCAAGUAUCUCGGGUCCGUGAUCCAGAGUAACGGUGAGAUUGACGAGGAUGUCUCGCACCGUAUUGGGGCGGGAUGGAUGAAGUGGAAACUCGCAUCGGGGGUGCUGUGUGAUAAGAAGGUGCCGCCCAAGCUUAAAGGCAAAUUCUAUAGGGUGGUAGUCCGUCCGGCCUUGCUGUAUGGAGCGGAGUGUUGGCCAGUUAAGAACUCCCACAUCCAAAAAAUGAAGGUGGCAGAAAUGCGGAUGUUGCGCUGGAUGUGUGGACUGACCCGAGGGGAUAGAGUUCAGAAUGAGACUAUCCGGGAGAAGGUUGGUGUGACUUCAGUGGAGUGUAAGAUGCGGGAAGCACGAUUGAGAUGGUUCGGACACGUGAAGAGGAGGGGCACGGAUGCCCCGGUCAGUAGGUGUGAGCGGCUAGCGUUGGAUGGUUUUAGACGGGGUAGGGGUAGACCGAAGAAGUACUGGGGUGAGGUGAUUAGGCGGGACAUGGAACAGUUACAGCUUACCGAGGACAUGACCCUAGAUAGGAAGGUCUGGAAGACGCGAAUUACGGCAGAGGAUUAGGGCCAGUUCGGGUCGCUAGUGUAGGGAAUUAAUUGGUGGGGGUGUAUUCCUGUUAUGAUUCUGUAUUCAGUGUUUCGUGUUCCGUGUUCCAUGUUUAUUACGAAUCUGGGUGCUUUCCUCUGCUUUAUAUUCUUGCAUUCCUUCUUUACUCUGUUUUAUAUUCCUUAUGGGUGCCGUAUCUAUGUUAUGUCAUCUGCUUCUGUGCUGUACUAUGUGUUUGUGUGAUAUCUCGUGACUUGAGCCGGGGGUCUUUCGGAAACAGCCUUUCUACUUCAUCAGAGGUAGAGGUAUGGACUGCGUACAUCUUACCCCCCCCAGACCCCACGAAGUGGGAAUACACUGGGUUUGUUGUUGUUGUUGUUGUUGUCUUCGAUAAACUAUGACAAUAGGUAUUUAAGGUCUUUUAAGAAUCAAGUCUUAAAAUUUAAGGGGAUCAUUCGAAACAAGCUUAUCAUGAGAUUACAAGUUAUAACUAGGAUAUAUGAUCUAACAUCCUACAUGAGAUAGAUAAUUUUAUUUUCAAUUUAAAUUUUAUUUUGAUUUUAACCAACAUCCAUAAUUUGGAUAUUUAAUGCCAAAUUUCAUAUUGAGAUAUUUUCCUAAUCCUUUUAAGCUGUACAACAAUAUUUGUUUAUUAUUAACUUGACAUAUAUUUUAAGAAAUAAUAAGUAAUAAAAAUAAUAUUUGUCUAUCAUCUUAUAAAAAUAAUAAAUGUAAUAUUUUGAGAAAUACAUGGAUAAUAACGAAUAAUAUUGUGGUAGGGAUAAAUACAUAAAUGGUUAAGUUAUUCAGUAAUUUUUUAAACUAAAUAGUGCCCCAUUCGUCAUCUUUAUUUGUCCACUUUUUGGUUGACAUGAGAAUUAAGAAAAUAUGGAUAAUUUUAUCAUAUUAUUCUUUAAAUAUAAUAAAUUUAAUAUUUUUAAUAAUGCAUUGGAUAAUAAAUUACAUUUAAUCACAAGAAUAAGAUGGAUAGAAAUAUAUAAAUUAUCUAUUAAUUUUAUAAAUUAAAUAAGNNNNNNNNNNNNNNNNNNNNNNNNNNNNNNNNNNNNNNNNNNNNNNNNNNNNNNNNNNNNNNNNNNNNNNNNNNNNNNNNNNNNNNNNNNNNNNNNNNNNNNNNNNNNNNNNNNNNNNNNNNNNNNNNNNNNNNNNNNNNNNNNNNNNNNNNNNNNNNNNNNNNNNNNNNNNNNNNNNNNNNNNNNNAUAUAAUAAAUUUAAUAUUAUUAAUAAUGCAUUUGAUAAUAAAUUACAUUUAUUCACAAGAAUAAGAUGGAUAGAAAUAUAUAAAUUAUCUAUUAAUUUUAUAAAUUAAAUAAGUAUUAUUAUUAUUUUAAAAUAAAAAAAUAAAAACAAACGAAGAAAAUAUUAUUGAAAAUCUUAUUUUUAGUGACAUAAAAAAGUAAAGAGUAAGCGAGGGAGUAUAAUUAAACAAGCGCAGAAAGUUAGGUGAGUUGAUAAAGUAAAGAGCUUUUUGUAUAUUGAAAAAAAGAAAGGGUAUAAUCGUCUAUUUAACGUAAAAUCGGCACACUCUCUCAUCCUCCCUCCGUCCCAUUUUAUAUGUCCUAAAUUGAGAUGAUACAACUAUUAAGAAAAUAAUGAUUGAUAAUGUAAUUUUAUUAUUUUGUUCCUUUUAAUUAUAUCUUGUUGUUAGUUCCAAUAUUGAUAGAUGACUAAUACCAAAGCACCAUUUAUAUUUUUAAUGAUGUAUAUUUAAUGUUACUCCUCUUUGCGGCAUUUUUCAAGCAUAUUAAUAAUAAGGAGUAAUCAAUUACACUAAGGGUAUAAUGGAAAAAAAAUUAUUUUGUUUUAAUAAGUAAAAUAGGAUAAGUAAAAUGGGAUAUCAAAUUAAGAAAUUUGGGACGAGUAAACUAGGACGAGGGAGUAGUCAAAAUGAAACCCGGAAAGUUGUAAUUCAUAUUUAGAAAUGGAAAAAUAAUCUUUUGGACCUUUGUAUUAUAUCUGUUUUGUUUUGUAAGUUGGACACUUUUACUAUAUCCGUUUUGUAAGUUGGACACUUCUACUUAUAUGUUUGUCAUCUACACCCCUGAAUCCAUUAAAAAAAAUAUUUUAAACACUUUUUUACGAGUUUAACACACUCUCAUCACGUCAGCUGCCACAUCUACCAUAUCAUCUUCCAAAUCAUUUUUAUAUAUAAAAAUAUUAAAUAUUAAAAUACUAAAUAAAUAAAUAAAUCAACAAAUAAACAAAACAACCCCCCCCCCUCUCUCUUCCCCUCUUUCUUUCUUUCCCGUUCUUUUUUUUCUCUAUUUCUUCUUGCUUUCUUCUUCUUCUUUCCAUUUCCUAUUCUUCUUCCUCCUCUUCUCAUUCUUCUUUUCCUUUAUCAUCAUCUUAUUCUUCUUGCUUUAUGAAAAAAUUAAAAAAUAAGGAGUUAAAAAAUUUAAGAAGUAUGGAAGGAAAGAUUUUUGUGAUUUGGGUGAUCCAAGAAAUUUAAAAUUCAAUAUAAAGACUCAAUUUUUAUGCUCUCUUUAGAUUUUUUGUGAUUUGGGUAAUUCAAGAAAGUUUGAAAUUCUCGAAAUUCAAUGUAAAAAUUUAAGUUUAUGGAUUUUUUUUGUGAUUUGAGUAAUUCAAGAAGGUUGAAAAUUCUUAAAAUUCAAAAUAAAGACUCAAUUUUAUUUUUCUUGGAAUUUCUUGUAAUUUGGGUAUUUCAAGAAUGCUGAGAAUUCUUGAAAAUCAAUUUGAAUAUUUUUUUUUAUUUUUUUUGGGAAUAUUUUGUGAAUUAGUUAAAAUUCAAGAAUGGAGGUUCUUUGUUGCUGGGCUACUGCUGCUGCUAUCAAUGGCAAGGGAGAGUUGCAGGUUUUUGAGAAUCAUAGGCCAAACAGAGAGGGCAACCACCCUCCAUGAACACCCCAUUUUUUUCUCUCCUCUAUUGUCCUUAUUCUAGGCUGAAAUGAUACUCAUUUUUGAGUAACGAAUUGGUGGGGCUGGGGUUGAAAUGGGGGAGAGAGGCUGGGGAAGUUGGGGAGGUUUUUUUUUAAUUAUUUUUAAAAAUAUUUUUAAAUUAAAAAGAUGAAAAAAGAUCUUUUUUAAUUCUUUAAAAAUUAUUUUAAUAUAAAAUUGGUCAAAAAUUGAUCUCCACUCGCACCCCAGACAAGUGUAAUCACUCUCCUCAUCCUAGUUAGCGUUUUAGUGCCACAUAGGCAAAGUCAACGGUCAAAGAGUUUAAAAUAUAGCUUUUUAGUAGGUUCAGGGGUCCAGAUGAUAAACACGUAAGUAGAAGUAUCCAACUUACAAAAUCGACCUAUUACAGGGCUCCAAAAAAUCAUUUUACCUUUAGAAAUUGCAAAAACAAAUCCCUUAGUGUUAUACUCAUUUUUUAACUUUUUCUUCAUGUCUUGAGGCAAAUGCGUGAUGAUUUCGGCCCCGUUUGACCAUGAAAAUAUAAUUUUUCGAAGUUGAAAAUAGAAUUAGAAUUGAAGUUGGAGUUGUAUUUGAUCAUGAAUAUAAAUUAAAAUUAUUUUUGAAAUUUUGUGAGAGAUGUAGGAGUGAAAAGGUGAAAACAAGUUUUUCUUAUUUUCACUUUUCUAAAAUACAAUUUCAAAUUGUAUUUAAAAUUUUUAUGAUCAAACACUAUAAUUUUCACUUUUUUCACUGAAGUAAAAUAUUUUUUUUAAAAAAAAAUAAAAAAAUACUCAUGAUCAAAUGACCACUUCGCUUUAUUUAUCAAAAGUCUUACUUGAGUUGUGAAAGAAAGUAGUACAUAUUUGGUGAAAAUUCUCAUAUAUUAGGAGGAGUUGCAGCAGCUAAGAGGCAUUAGUUAAACAUGUCUGCUUAAGCUACUUCAACAAUAAUUUUAUUAUAUUAUUCUUAAUUAAUUUUUAUAAGUUACUUACGUCAUAAAUAAAUAUUUCUGGCAUUGUUUCCGUGACAAGUUUAUUAUAUUAAUUAUAAUUAAUUAUUAACAAUUACAUCCAUUGACUAUAAACUUCCCUCACCAAUGAAAAUUUCACAAAAUUCAUUUGCACAAGAAUUUUCUUUCUCCAAUUUAAAUAUUCCCUCACUCUUUCAUGCUUCCAUUUCUAAAUUCCAUAAACAAAUACAAUACUCUUCACCAAAAAACACCAACUACCAUAUUCCAAAAGACCAAAAUACCCCUCACCAACUCCCUCCACCACCCUUGUAUAUAAAAAACCUACUACCCUUCAUUUGCUCCAGCAUUACUAACAAUGGCUAUUUCUUUAGCUUUAGCAAUUCCUCUAUCAUUCAUCUUCACAUACAUAGCUUACCACCUCUACUACCGUCUCCGUUUCAAGCUCCCACCGGGCCCAUAUCCAUGGCCCGUUGUCGGUAACCUCUACCAAAUCAAGCCCGUUAGGUUCCGCUGCUUCUACGAAUGGGCCCAAACUUACGGCCCGAUUAUCUCUGUUUGGUUCGGGUCGACUUUAAACGUCGUCGUUUCCAGCUCGGAUUUAGCUAAGGAAGUGUUGAAAGAACAUGAUCAGCAGUUGGCUGAUCGGCACCGGAGUAGAUCGGCUGCGAAGUUUAGUAGAGAUGGAGCGGAUCUGAUAUGGGCCGAUUACGGGCCUCAUUAUGUUAAGGUUAGAAAAGUUUGUACUAUUGAGCUUUUUACUGCUAAAAGGCUUGAAGCACUUAGGCCCAUUAGAGAAGAUGAAGUUACUGCUAUGGUGGAGUCCAUUUACAGAGACUGCACUGGUCCUGGUAAGUUUUUUUUUUUUUUUUUUAAACUAUUUUUUGAAUUUUUAGUUUGUUUUUUGUUUAUAUGUAUUUUCAGUUGGUAAUUGAAUUGCUAUUAAUUCUCAAUUUUUAAUUUGUUUAUUAUUUUUGGAAAGAGUUUANNNNNNNNNNNNNNNNNNNNNNNNNNNNNNUAUAUAUAUAUAAGAAACAACAAAUAACAAUAAAAAUAAUAUAUUAUCCCAGAAAUAAUAAGCAAUAUAAUAAUUGAAGUACAAGACACGAUUAGAUAUGCCCUUUCCCAAGAUAUUAAAAGGAAAGGGUUCUUCCUUUAUUUUGUUUGACAUAUUCGCAUGAAUUGAAUUCAAAUUUAUCAACAAUGGCAACUUUUUUUUUUUUAAAAUAAUAUUGGUGUAUUUUAACCUGUUGUAAUUGAAAAUUUGUCUAAUAAAAAUAUUACACGUGGAAAGUGUAUUCAUGUAGGUGGAUGUAGAUAAGCUAAAGAGUCCUUUUUUCUAGUAAGAGGUUGAUAAAUUUGGUUAACGUUUUGGUGGUUUUCUUCUUUUUUCUUAUUGGGUGGGGGUCUAUGGGGUUGUUGGGAUUGAACUCAAAUAAAAUGAUGCGUUGACCAAUAUCAACCUACUAUCAUUUUCCAAAUAAUAAUAAUACUCCCUAAUAAUAAAAAUAACAAAUGGUGAAUAAGCACACCACCUUAAAUAGUAGGUGUGGUUGGUGGAUUGGUGAUGGUAGACCUAACUUUGAUUAAGAGACCCACUAUUAUCGCUCAUUUGGUCUACCAAAAUCUCAUCCAUGGUGCUAAAUGCCCAAGAAUAUGGUAUUUGUGUAGAUAACGCGGGGAAGAGUGUGCUAGUGAAGAAGUACCUUGGAGCAGUGUCCUUCAACAACAUAACAAGGCUUGCCUUUGGAAAGAGGUUUGUGAACUUUGAAGGUGUGAUGGAUGAACAAGGAAACGAGUUCAAGGCGAUUGUUGCCAAUGGAUUGAAGCUCGGGGCAUCCCUUGCAAUGGCGGAGCACAUCCCAUGGCUUCGCUGGAUGUUCCCUCUUGACGAGGAUGCAUUUUCUAAGCACGGGGCACGUAGAGACCGUCUAACCCGAGCUAUUAUGGAGGAGCACACCCUGGCUCGCCAAAAGAGUGGAGGAGCCAAGCAACACUUCUUUGAUGCAUUGUUGACCCUCCAACAGAAAUAUGACCUUAGUGAAGACACUCUCAUUGGCUUGCUUUGGGUAAGUAAAUUAGUAUUAUUCACUUCCCUCACAAUAGGAGCUUAAAUGAUAAUCUACUGAGAUUUUACUCUGAUACCCAUAAUAGCAAGUGCCAUUUGCGGAUGAAUUUUGAAUUGAUCUCUAUGAAAAUUGCAGGAUAUGAUCACAGCAGGACUGGACACAACUGCAAUCUCUGUUGAAUGGGCAAUGGCUGAGGUGAUCAAGAACCCAAGAGUGCAGCACAAGGCCCAAGAGGAGCUCGACCAAGUGAUUGGCUACGAGCGUGUGAUGAACGAAACAGACUUCCCCAACCUCCCAUACCUGCAAUGCGUGGCUAAGGAAGCUCUAAGGCUUCACCCUCCAACUCCUCUUAUGCUGCCACACAGAGCCAACGCCAACGUCAAGAUUGCUGGUUAUGACAUUCCAAAGGGCUCCAACGUGCAUGUGAAUGUCUGGGCAGUAGCUCGUGACCCCAAGGUGUGGAAAAACCCGUUGGAGUUCAGACCGGAGAGGUUCCUUGAGGAAGAUGUGGACAUGAAGGGGCAUGAUUUCAGACUACUCCCAUUUGGUGCUGGCAGAAGAGUGUGUCCAGGGGCACAAUUGGGUAUCAACUUGGUCACAUCUAUGUUGGGCCAUCUUCUGCACCAUUUUCACUGGACUCCGUCUAAUGGAUUGAGCCCCGAAGAGAUUGAUAUGGGUGAGAACCCAGGGCUUGUUACCUACAUGAGGACUCCAUUACAGGCCGUCGCCACUCCCAGAUUACCUGCUGAGUUGUACAAACGAAUUGCAGCGGACAUGUAAAACAAAACAAACUAAAGGGGAAGAAUUUGGUUUACCCAGGUCCAAACAGCCACUUCCCAUAAAAGAGAUUUUCUUUUUUUUAUUUUGCUUUCUUUUUUGUUGUUAUGUGAUAAUUCAAAAAGUUUCGACUUUGAGCUCCCAAGUCCAAUUUCUUUUGUACUGUUUUUAUUUUUAUAUCAGUUAGUACUUCAUGAAAAAAAAUAUUGUUUCUAGUUGGUUAACGAGAUUGUAUUUUCCUAGCAACUGAUAUGAAGUCAAGUGACUGAAUGAUAGUCAGAUCUUUGUUUUCUUAUCCCUAGAUACCCAGGGUACCUUGUGAAGGUGGAGUGACUAUUUUCGAUAGACACUUAGCUCAAGUAAAGAAUAUAAAAAAAAAAAAAAAAACAAGUGUAAAGCAAAUUUAGAAGUGAAUAAAGAUAAAAUAACCUCAACCCUAACAUAGUCAUCAUCCCAUCAUAGAUUAAAAUAUUUUGUAAUAAAAAGGAGUAAAUUCAAUUUAAAUGGUGAAAAAGACAAAACAUUUGAUAUUAGGUUCUUGGUGCAAAUAUUACCAGACAUGUAGUUGGAAAGGUGCUGUAAAGAAAAGCAUUUUCAUGUCCUAAUUAAUAGCAGACUUCUAAAACCUCUGUAAUCUGGAAAAGAUUAAUGAAUAUGUGUGGCCUUUUAUUAUUCUAAUAUAUAUGCUAAACUACCACACCAAGGAUCAGUUAGCUUAGCUUGUGCAAAAUCAGCAGAUAUGUAUAACCUUUCUACAAGUCACAAUUCCAGUCUAAAGUCCUCCAGAUUUCUGAUCUUCCUUUGCAAGAGCUACGUAGUUUACAGGUAUUACAGCACCAACAUGACCACUCCCUCUCUUUUCCUUCCCUAUGGACGCACCGUAACGACCUGAAGCUGUGGACAUACGCCGACUAUUUGGAGUUCCAGGCACUGUGUUAGCAUUACCCAGAGGUUUCUUGGCAGACUUUGAACCGUAGAUAUUUUCUUGUUCUGCAGCAAAUUGAUCUUGGAGUCGCUUUUGUUCCUGAAACAUAUACAUUACACUCAAUCAUCCAAAUCUAACUAUCUAUGCUCUAUUAACUAUGGUAUACACGAUUAAAGCAUCAAAAACAAUUAUAUUCAGUUUCAAGCAUACAUCCAAAAAUAGAUAGUUCAUAUGACAUAGACUAUCCCUUCAAAUUUCAAUCACAGUCACAGCACGCGACAAGAGAAUAAAAAGUGAUACCCGAGAUCUACGUUUCUCUUCUUGUUUUUCCUGUCGCGAUAUGAUGUACUCUUCCAAAGUAUGCAAUAAAGGGGCCUAGACAAAAAAAAAGAGUUCUGGUCUGAAGGUGCAGUACCACAACAUAAUAUCAUCUUAAAUAAAAACACAACGAUGAACUUACUUUGUGAUACAAAAAUGGAAUUCCUCUCUCCUUCUCCCAGGCCUUUAUCUUGGCAGUCAAGUUCUCCACGAGGGCUGCAUUAUAGGUUCAGACUUCGGUCACUAUAUGAUAAUUGCUGACACAUACUAUACAAACAUACUUUAGAUUAGAAUGUGCGAUAAUAAGUUGAUGUGGAUACAAUUUGUGUGGCUCUGGAGGAGGCCUAGGUAGCCUUCAAGAACAUACCAUAAUUAACGAUUACCACAUUAGAUAUGGGCACGAGCACCAUUUUAGGCUUAACUGAUCAAUGAAAGUUAUGUAAUAUACCAAGAAACAAGGAACAAUAAAAACAAAAACCAAAUGAGUAGACCUAAAGCACUCUACAAAAUCAAGUAUCAGUUUCCACUUUCUAUAGUAGACAACCAAGAUUGCAAAGAGAAAUAGGUGAACUGGUAUGUUUAUAACCAGAGUAAGAGAUGAAAUUCGAAGGUAGGAAAAAGAAGAGGAGGUGAGUUUUUUUUGGUGGACUGUGUACACUUUACCCUCCCCAGACCCCACUUUGAGGGAAUACACUGUGUAUGAAAAAAAAAGGCAGAUGUGAAAGACCAAAAACAAGAAGUUUCUUCAUAUACAAUUAACAGAAAUCCGCAAUUAUGCAUAAUUCUCCUCAAAAGAAAGCAAUAGUGCAUCACGAAGCUACUAAUACUGGUCUAUCAGGGGAGGAGGAGAGAAGAGGUGUACAUCAAAUGAGAUAAAUGAGUACAAGCUCACAUGGUAUUUUGCUGACUAAAAUCCGUGCUUUUUCUGCACGUUUCAAAUUGAUGUGGACACCUUUCCCAGCGCUGUAACGAUUUUCAUCCUGUUAAAACAAGUUCAUCAUGAUUUAAUGGGGAACUCAAGGUGCAAACAGUAUCUUUUACAGCAUCAGAUCUGUUAUGCAUCUAAAGUAACAGGUACUCAACUAUAUGUUUUUGUUCCCUCAACAAGCCUGAAGAAAAACUAGGCAAGCCAGCCAGGCAUAGAAUGGAAGAGCAUAUCAGUUUAUCCUGUUAUCACCUAAUUUUGUUGCACUGCACUUAUGCAUCAAAUUUUAUACCAGCAGAAUAAUAUGGAAUACAGAAAGAGUAAAUUUAUUAGGGGUAUCGCAGAGAGCACCCCAAACAAUAUGUGGGACACAUCCAAUUACCACUGUGGCCAACUUUUAGCAACAGAGAUGAACAAUUAGACUGAUUGAUAUAGAGCAACAAUCAACCAAUUGUGCACUAUUUUGGCUGCACUUAUCCACAACAUUUGUUACUAGCCUAUAAGCACAAACAACUUAGUAAAAUCCAACAAAUUAACUACACACUUGAAUACUCAGGCUUGCCUCUGUUAUCACAAAAACGUAGAAAAGAGUCGGGAGUCUACUAGGUAUUUGAGUGCGUACAAUUGAAGUGUUUAAUUAAGGACAUAGAUGAGAAAAGAAUCGCAAAAAAAUAAGUACCGGAAAGAAGAAACGUAGCUAUUUUUACAAUUACCAAUUAUAUGGACCAAAGAAUUGAAAAAGUAAGAUGAUUGGAAUGAAAUUUAAACCAUGUCAAUAAAGUUCAAAACCAUUUUAAAUUAUGAUUCAUAUGCGCGUUGCUACUUAUUAGUUGCUAAUUUUCAUUACUAAAUUACUAAUUUCCUAUGCCAAAAUACUAACAUAUUUAUCCAAUUCUUAGUAAUUAGGAUAUCACUUUGAAAACUGUAUUUAUUAUUUAGUGUUAUCCUCUUUUAAGACAGAAACGCUAAAGCCUUUUUGAGUGAAGCAGAGCAGCAAGUCCACAUUGCAUUGAACUUUAGGCCCAGAGCUCACUAUAAGGUAGCUUUUUCCAACACUAAGGUACUAAAUUAUGACAUACCUACGAAAGAUAUAAGGUUGACCAAUAAUAUAAGGAUUAAAAAAUAAUGAAAAAAAAGAAGAGGUAUCCUUUCUGCACAUAUGUGCCAUAUGAUUCAUAACUGAGUAUAGUUCACAAGUAAACACCUGUAUUUAUGUAGAUGGUAUACCUUUUCAUACUCAUCAAGCCAGCUUUCCUCUUGGGAUGCAUGUUUCCACUUUUCCACUUUAUCCAAAACAUCUUUCCUGCUAGCAGCUUCCUCUUUGGCUUUCACCACCUGAUCAUCCAUGCUUGAAAGCAGACCAGAGAGAUCGCUGCCUGUAUUGGAUUAUAAUAAAAUAAUGUAUAAGAGAACAUAAACCUAAUAUUAAUGAAGUAUCUUUCAGUUGUACUCAUGAUAACAAUAGACAUGCUAAGAUGCAAGAGGCCUGAGUAAAGGAUAGACAUGUUCAACAAAAAAUGAGAAUGAAUGCUAGCUCAGCUAAGAAAGAUUCAUAUCCUCUUUUGAAUCAUUAGUACCAAAAUUGUAAACAGUCAAUUAAUAUCGACAGUGACACUCUCUUCCAGCAAUUUUCAUAUAUAUAUUCUCUCACUAGAGGGUAUUAUGAGUAUUCAUGGAGAAAACAAAGUAGAGCAAAAAUGAGGGAGGAAAUCACAUCUUCCUGUGAGGACGGGAAUAAAGGCUACAAAGCUCAGAGGUCACAACCUAAGUCGCUGUAGUGGCGGCUUAUAGAAUUGCUUUACUGCAGAAAGCUUAAGCUUAGCUUAGUAGAACAAAUUUAAGUAAAUAGAAUUUGGAGGAUCCAUCCAAUGGUUUUAUGACUUGCUUGGGCCAUCUAAGAGGUAUGGUCUCCUCCCAUCCAUCAUAGGUUAAUGCCUUGUUCGUUUUCUUGUUGCAGUUGAGCUCUCAUUUAGGGGCCCUUUAGAACCUCAGGAAAUAGUUCUUUGAAGCCUCUAAUCUUCUGAUGUAGUGAGGGAUGGGUUCAAUAGGCUACUGCCAGGUUCCUACAGUUUCUGCUAAUUCUUUCCCUUAGCACAACCAUUACUUUUCAGAAUCAGCCCACAAACUUGCCUCUACCAAAAAAAACCAAAAAAAAAAACAUGCACAGUGCAGCUAAAAGAUCAGAAACGGAUUUAACAGAUUUUGCACUUAAAACCCAGCACACAACAAUAAAACAAAUGAUAUGUUGGAAACAAAAUCACGAAAUUGAAAAUAGGAAUAAUCCAAGCAAAAAUAUUUAUCGAGAUUAACUUCUGUUUAAAGAACAAGCAUUUAAAUGACACAGAAAAGAACUGAGGAUAAAGUAAAUUGAAUCUACCAGAAUCCAUAAGCUGGAUUAAAAUCUGGCGUGCAGUCUCACUAUCUACAUCCAUAUGAACACUCCUGUAGAUUUCCUCGAGCUCAUUUUGUCUCUUAAAUAUCAAUUCUCUCAGCUUACUGGUCUUUAGAGCACUUAAACGCUCAACUUCCACUUCAGCCUACCAACAUAGAAAUGAGAAGCAGUAAGAGACUGUAGUAGAGAAAUUAGUUUGGUUUAGGAGAAACCAAGUAGAAUAUAUAUACAAGAUUUUUUAUCCCAUCCUCCGAAGACUCAAAUGGAAAAAGAGAAGGAAUAAUGACUCAAAGUACCUGUUCAAUAAUGUGAAUGUCAAGGGAUCCUUGUCUAGUUAUCUCAUCAAUACAGGAAGAAACUAAGGAAGUGAUGUGGUUAAACCUUAGUUGUUCCUCCAUUGGCAUGUCCAUGAGGUUCCAAAGUUCUAUUAGAGAGCUGCCAAGAUCUUGAAUCUUCACCAAUAAAAUAAAAUGGCGAAAGAAUCAACAUUUUUUAUAAGGUAAUGUUUUAUAUAUGAACCAACAGAAAGUAUAUGCCCAUAUAGACAUUUGAGUACAUCAAAGUAGAGAGCUAAUGAGAGCAACCAUGACUUCUACUUCUUAGCAGUCUGUACAUUGGCCGUGUUGCUUCAAAAUGAAAGAAGAAACAACAUCAUAAACAGAAAGUGUGCCAAGCGAUAUAUGGGGCCAUUUGUUUCAGAGACUAAUUAUCAAAGACUAAUGAUAUAUUGGUUAUUAUGUAGUGAAUAAUAUUAUAGGAAUCAUAAAUAGCAAGUGCUUUCUAAUUAGGGUAGUCUAGAUCAAAAUUAACCACAAAAGCAGAUGAGAUUCCAAACAAUUCUCAAUCAUGUUUAUCCAACUAAAUUCUUAGUUGUUAAAAUUUUGAAAUAAGUAACAAUUUGUUGAUCAUUUCAUUUCAUUUAGCUAAAAAAAUAACUUUCAUCAAUUCUAAUAUCAAAAUGUUAUGUGGCCAGAGACUGAUACAAAUCAGUACUUAUAAGUGAUCAUAAUUAGUGCAGUAAAAACGAGAAGCUUGCACCACUAGGCGCACUCAUAUGAUAUACAUCCAUGAAAGUCUACUCAAAACAAAAAAAAACAUGCAAUCACUUUUGGUCCUUCGAUAUUUUAGAGAGACUAUUCCACUAAAUAUAAAAUGCAAAAGGAGAGACUGGUUGAUAAUUCACCCACUCUUUCUAGCCGCUGCUGCUUCAAUUGCUUCAGUGAAUUGACUUCACUUGUCAAGUUAGCAAGUGUUUCAUUGCUUAUGCUCUUUGAUUGUCCAUUCAAAUGAUUCGCCAAGCUUGGAUUGAUAUUAGCUAUUAUCUUCUUGAAAUCAAGUGACAUAACUACUGUAAGCUCAUGAAUUGCGCUCAUAUAGCUAUUCACUCGUUGCAAACGGAGGUUCUGCAGAAAAGGACAAAGGUCAACAGAUUAAAUUGUAAGGAUACAUAAAUUGUUUUAUUCAAGCAAAAGUUAAGAGGCAGAAAAUCAGUUAAGUAACCUUUUCAGACUGAAGUUCCUGAAGAUGUGACUUCAGUUCUGCCAAUCUCUUAGCUGUCAAGUCUUGUUCAUUUACUUGAACAUCUGUGGGACUAAUAACUCUGUCAUUUCCUGCUAUUUCUGCACAAAUUGCUGCUAUCUGUGUUUCUAUGUUCAAGAAUUCCUGAAUCCUUUCAUGUUUCUUUGUCUGUAUGUCUUUUAACACAGGAUCAAUAACCGCCAAUUUCUGCUUGAGGGUACCUUUCAUCUUUCCAGACUGAAAAAUAUGAAAGGAGUUGGUUAUAAAGAAAAAAUGAAAGCCUGGAUCGUGGAGAAGUUCAGCAAUUCUAAAGAAAAAUAGGACAAACCAAUGGCAAAGAAACUUGUUCUCCAAGGGCAGAAACAAGUUUGGAAAUUUCUGCCUCUGCCUCAGCUAAUGACAGAUGCAACUCAGCCUUGUAUUUUCUCUCUUUAUCUACAUUUCUACGGUAGAUNNNNNNNNNNNNNNNNNNNNNNNNNNNNNNUUUGUCCCUUUCACUGUCACUCUCCCCAAUCUCAUCCCAUAUUUCCUUCAGACAAAAAUGACAGCUUAUUUAAAGAGAUUCUACCUCCAAAAAGUUUUAAGUGAAAAUGCAGCUGUUUAUAAAUACACAAGUGGGAAAGCAGAAGAAAAAUGCAUCAUUCUCCAAAAUAAGGAAACAUAUAGAGUUCAAAAGAUAGUUCCGUUAGCAGACCAAGCAAAAUUCUUGAAUAAAUGCUACACUGCUUUCAGGAAUUUAUUGAACCAUAAGUAUUUGGGUACAUAAGCGUAUAAGGGCAUGAACCACAUUAUAAAUGCUAAUGCACUCUGCCCAACAGACUGAUGAGUUUAAGAAAAAAGAACAACCACAUCUUCACUUUCUUCAUUCAGACAGAAAUCUUCUAAUCUUUUACAGCCAAGAAACGUCAAGGGAAAUAUUUGAAGUUGUAAUGACCCUUCAGGUCAUUUUUCAUAUUUAUGCUUAUCUUCACCGUUUGAACUUCUCCAUAGCUACCCCAAGUCAUUUAUGACUUGCUGGGACUGAGGAUUCAGUUACCGGGUAGUUCGUUUGGUUUUUAGAGUCAACUCCCUGUUUAGAAGUUUCGUUGGUUCCAAAUGGCCACCGAUCAAAAACUUCAACCAAACGAUCUCGGAUGAAAAUUUCGACUGCGCCAGCAUAUCCGAAAUAUCGAUUUUAGUCUAGGUAGACCUUUGGUUCGGGUCCCAAUGCACCCGAGCUCAUUUCGACCUAUUAGUCGGAAAGUCAUAAAAUCAAAACUAUCUAUAUGGGCCCCACUUUUUACCUAAACGACCUUGUUUGGAAGAUUUGAUGAUUCCAAUGGAUUUGAAUUAUGGUUUACACUCAAAUUUCACUAUUGGAUCAUAUAUUUUGGGUUCCGAAUGAGUUCUGAGGGUCAAAAAUAAGUUUUUGACUUUGCUGUCACAGGGUACCGCUUCUGUUCGCCGAAAGGGUCUAUAAAUAGACCCAAGGUCGCGAUUUUGGGGAUUUCCUUUCACAUUUGAGAACCUAAAACCCUAAAUGGGUAUGAUAACUCGAAAUUGAGUCUUGUGGGUGUCUAGGGAGCUUUGUAAACAUCUUUUAUCAAGAUUAUCAUCCGGAUUAAGAUAAGAUUUCAUCACUUUAUUGGUAAAUUUCAUUGUUCUUGACCCAAAACCCCAAUUUAGCUUAGGGCUUGAUUUAGCCCCACAUUUCGUUCGUUUGCACCUAUCAAUUGAGUGUUAUGCUUCCUUGGUGAUAAUGAGCAUUGGGUUGACCUCGGAAACGCGAUUUCCGUAUGUGGGACCCACUUGGGGUUUUUGGUGUCAUUUUUGAACCCGAAGCACAAUAAUGCAAUAUGGGUAUCGUUAGACUCGUAUUGAUGAGUAGAUUAUAUUUUUGAUAGUGUAUGGCAUUUUGGGGAUUGUGAAGUGAAGACGAGCAUGUGGUGCUUGAAGUGUGAUUUAGCAGUUUAGCCUUGAGGUAGGCCUCUGUCUACUUUUCUUCAUGGAUGAUGUAUGAUAUAUAUUCCGUUUGAAUGUGAAUGUUAAGAUUGAUAUUGGAUAGAAUGACUUAGUAUUGAAUAUACAUAUAAGUUUUGGAGAUUAGAUAGGGUUUUGGACCCGUAGGUUAAUUACUUAAUACCCUUGUAGAAUCCUAUUGCCAUCUCCCUAGUUUGGGUAAAUUUGUAGCAUGGAUAUGAUAUAAUGCUAUGUUCAGAAUAUGGUUUUAGCAUUUGAAGCAUGAUUUGUAUAUUUAGCCUUAUUGGGCUAGUGUGAUAGUUUUGGAACCGUAAGUUUGGUAGAGUUGACUUGAGUACCCUUGUUUCUAGUCGAAGUUACUAUUUUAGGCGUUAAUAUGGCUUGCUUGACAUCUAAAGGAUGAACUCGAUACCUUAACCUAGUUUGGAGCAUAGUAUGCCUAAUUAUGGAAAUUAUGAAUUAGAAGUGGGAUUAUCCGACCCACUUAGGCCAAGAUUUGUGUUAGCCCUUGUGGGCUUAGUUGAGAAUAAUAGACCUAGUUGAGACUAAUGAGACUUAUUUAUGAGAAUUACUUGGUGAAUUGAUCAAUUGUGAUGAUUUUUGUCGGAUUAUGAUUAGUGGCCCAUAGAGAUGCAUUUUCCUCUUUAUUAUGAUAUUUGACCUAUAGAAAUGCAUUUUCCUCUUAGUUAUGAUAUUUGGCCCAUAGAGAUACGUUUUCCUUUUAAUUAUGAUAUUUUGCCCAUAGAUAUAUUUUCCACUUUAUUAUAAUAUUUGGUCCAUAGAGAUGCAUUUUCCUCUUAAUUAUGAUAUUCUGCCCAUAGAGAUGCAUUCUCCUCUGAAUUAUGAUAUUCUGACCAUAGAAAUGCAUUUCCCUCUGAAUUAUGAUAUUCUGCCCAUAGAGAUGUAUUUUCCUCUGAAUUAUGACAUUUGGCCCAUAGAGAUGUAUUUUUCUCUUAAUUAUGAUAUUUUGCCCAUAGAGAUGCAUUUUCCUCUUAGUUAUGAUAUUUAGCCCAUAGAGAUGAUUUUCCUCAUAGUUAUGAUUAUUGAGCUUAUAGAGACGAUUUUCCUCUUGGUCAUGAUGCACUUGAUGGCUAGGAAGCUAAUGUAUUAGUUAAUGAAUCUUGCUUAGUUGGAACAUGGUAGCUAAUGAUGGUCAGUUAAUGAAUGAUGUCAUUUAAUAAAAGAUGGUUAGGCGACAAGUAGUAAUGUGCUGUCUAGUAAUGAUUAACAAAUAUAAGGAUGAAUAGUUGAUAAUAAUGAAUGGUGGAUAAAUGACGGUUUGGUCUAAUGAUGAGCCUAGACUAGAUGUUAGAUUUUGACCAUUAAAUGAAUAGUGGUUAUUUGUUAUCCCGUGAAUAAGGAUUAUGUGAAGGAUAAUGUUUAGGCUAAUAACUAUAGGUUAUGUGAUGACUAGUGAACUAGCGGUUUAACAAUAAUAAAUGUUGGUUAGCUAAUAACGAGUAAUUGGGAUGUAUUAAUAAGAUAGAUAUCUUUACGGUUAUGAAUAUAUCGGCUUGCGUCUGUGCACCUAUUAUAUGCCUAUAUUUAUGUGUCGAGAGUUAUGAUGAUACAUUGAUACCCGACAAGGCCGGAGGAUAUUAUGAUAAUAUUGAUACCCGAUUCGAGUCCAGAGGAUACUAUUGAGAUGACAUUGAACCCCGGCAAUGCCGGAGGAUAUUAUGAUGAUAUUGAUACCCGGUUCGAGUCCGGAGGAUAUUAUGAUGAUAUUGAUACCCGGUUCGAGUCCGGAGGACAUUGACACCCGGCAAGGCCGAAGGAUAUUAUGAUGAUAUUGAUACCCGGUUCGAGUCCGGAGGAUACUAUUGAGAUGAUAUUGAUACCCGGCAAGGCCGUAGGAUAUUAUGAUGAUAUUGAUACCCGAUUCGAGUCUGGAGGGCACUAUUGAGAUGAUAUUGAUACCCGGUUUGAGUCCGGAGGAUACUAUUGAGAUGAUAUUGAUACCCGGUGAAGCCGGAGGUUGAUGACGAUGAUGAUGGUCCUGAUGAAGACAGUUAUGAUGCAUUGUGAUAUUAAUGGUAUAUUUUGCAUUCAUUCCUGCAUGCGCAUCGCCUAUCACCAGUAUGCACCUAUGUUUAUCAGCCGGUAUGGGACGGUUGCAUAGAUAUGGGUGAAGAAUAUGUCUUGUGUUAUUGUUUGUUGAUUGAACCUUCCGAGUCUGGGGCGGUGGGGGUACGCAUAGGUUCGGCUAGGUAGUUGGUUGUCCGGAGUAGCCAGUUAUUUACGAUGUUAUUGAUAUUGUUAUUAUCAUGGUUAUGAUCAUUAUUAUGGCUAGCUUAUGACAGAUCGAUCAUGGAUCCGGUAUUGGGAUUGAGGUAUGUCUUCAGCCUUUGCUAUCUUAUGAUUGCAUUACUGUGCACGAUUAUUGUAUGUCUAGCCAUAUGGAUUAGAAAUUCUAAGUAUGUUGGUAUUAAAUCCUGAUAGCAUUUUAAUAAGGUCUUAAAAUGAGAACAUGACGAUGUAGGUUAUGUUGAGAUGACCUCCUAUUUAUAUAUAUAU
rnacentral:lncRNA from 1 species